rnacentral:lncRNA from 10 species
GUUCCCUGACCCCUUUGUGGGUGGGAACUGGAGUGCAUGGGUGCUGGAACAAGCCAACUGUGUUGGCGCCAGCAGGGGCAAAUUCCACUCCCUUGAACCCGCUGCGCUCCACCCCUCGUGGGAGGGGGAGCACAGGUGAGCAGGUACAGGAGGAGCUGGGGAAGCACUCUUGGGCACAUGCAGGAGUGAAUUCCGUACCGGCCCCACAGCAGCAUCAGCGGGGCGGGGGUGCCCACGACCCCCGAAGCCCCAGAGGAACUGUCACAGUACUCUUUUAGCUCUGCCCUCUGUGGAUGGCUUAAGUGUUAACAGCUCAGUGGACCCUAUGUCUUUUAGCAUAAGGCGGCUACCUUCUGCCAGCGAGGGCAAAGGGUCAGUGUGGCAGCCUUUUGCCUCCACACUCACUGCACCUGAGCUGUUGUCAAGCAUCCAGGAGAAAUGAAGUAGCACAAACGAAUUGGAGGAUGGUAAAUGUGGGGGAUUUUAUUGCUGUUGGACGUGGCUCUCAGAGGGAAGAGGAGCUGAAAAGCAGACAGAGAAGGAAGGUAAUCUUCCCUCAAAGUCCAGCUGUCUCCUGGGAUUCUUCUUGAAAUUUACACCGUCGAGCUGUCCCUCUGAAAGACACGGACACUUCGGAAAGCGUUCUGCGGACAGUUAUCAAGAUGAUGAAUUGCAGUGAACACCAAGACACAAAAGGCAGGGACAACAAUUGUUGCUGGAUUAUGCUGAGAGGAUUAAGUCAUGAGAUGAUUCAACUUUGAUUUUAAAGAUAUCAAUCCUCAUUUCCUAACUUCUUGAAAAGUUAUGUUGGAAAAUGAGAAAAACCACAAUGCUAGCUUCCUGUCUUCAAUA